rnacentral:rRNA from 1 species
GACGAACGCUGGCGGCGUGCUUAACACAUGCAAGUCGAACGAUGAAGAAGAGAAACGCGCCCUUCGGUUCAAAUUUCACUUCGGAUUAGUGGCAGACGGGUGAGUAACGCGUGAGCAACCUACCUCUUACAAAGGGAUAGCCUCGGGAAACCGUGAUUAAUACCAUGUGACACAUUCAUAAGGCAUCUUAAGAAUGUUAAAGCUACGGCGGUAAGAGAUGGGCUCGCGUCCCAUUAGCUAGUUGGUGAGGUAACGGCCCACCAAGGCGACGAUGGGUAACCGGCCUGAGAGGGUGAACGGUCACAUUGGAACUGAGACACGGUCCAAACUCCUACGGGAGGCAGCAGUGGGGAAUAUUGCACAAUGGAGGGAACUCUGAUGCAGCGACGCCGCGUGAGCGAUGAAGGAAUUCGUUUCGUAAAGCUCUGUUCUAUGGGAAGAAAAGGACUGUACCAUAGGAGAAAGCCCCGGCUAAAUACGUG